rnacentral:rRNA from 1 species
GUAAGGAAUAUUGCGCAAUGGGCGAAAGCCUGACGCAGCAACGCCGCGUGCGGGACGAAGGUCUUCGGAUCGUAAACCGCUUUUCUGCGGGAAGAGGAAGGACGGUACCGCAGGAAGAAGUCUCGGCUAACUACGUGCCAGCAGCCGCGGUAAAACGUAGGAGGCGAGCGUUAUCCGGAUUUACUGGGCGUAAAGCGCGUGCAGGCGGUUGGGAAAGUUGUGCGUGAAAGCUCCCAGGCUUAACCGGGAGAGGACGUGCGAAACUGCCCGACUGGAGACAGACAGAGGCAAGUAGAAUUCCGGGUGUAGUGGUGAAAUGCGUAGAGAUCCGGAGGAAUACCAGAGGCGAAGGCGGCUUGCUGGGUCUGAUCUGACGCUCAGACGCGAAAGCAUGGGGAGCGAACGGGAUUAGAAACCCCGGUAGUCC